AGCAGUCGCCGCGGUAACACAGAGGGUGCGAGCGUUAAUCGGAUUUACUGGGCGUAAAGCGUGCGUAGGCGGCUUCUUAAGUCGGAUGUGAAAUCCCUGAGCUUAACUUAGGAAUUGCAUUCGAUACUGGGAAGCUAGAGUAUGGGAGAGGAUGGUAGAAUUCCAGGUGUAGCGGUGAAAUGCGUAGAGAUCUGGAGGAAUACCGAUGGCGAAGGCAGCCAUCUGGCCUAAUACUGACGCUGAGGUACGAAAGCAUGGGGAGCAAACAGGAUUAGAUACCCCCGUAGUCCCUGUCUCUUAUAC
rnacentral:rRNA from 1 species